rnacentral:rRNA from 1 species
UACAGAGGUCUCGAGCGUUGUUCGGAUUCAUUGGGCGUAAAGGGUGCGUAGGCUGUGACGCAAGUUGGAUGUGAAAUCCCGGGGCUUAACCCCGGAACUGCAUUCAAUACUGCGUUGCUAGAGUACUGGAGAGGAGAUUGGAAUUCACGGUGUAGCAGUGAAAUGCGUAGAUAUCGUGAGGAAGACCAGUGGCGAAGGCGAAUCUCUGGACAGUAACUGACGCUGAGGCACGAAGGCCAGGGGAG